AGGGCGCCAUGGCCGCCACGCUCGACCUUGGGCCUGGCCCAAAAGCCCGUUUUUUCGCGCAGGACCCAGCCCACCACAGCCCCAGGCCUUCUUGGGCCCCAUCUCUUCAGCUAGGGCUUCCGCUGGGUCCUUGUUAGGCCUCAUAUCCCUCAGCCUAAGGCAGGAUCCCCAUCUUCUCACAGGCCCCCGGCUUGGACCCACCCUCAUCGACCUGCUCCCCUCAGAGCUCUCACCUCAUCCUUGGUAAGAGCUGAUCUUUGCUGCAGGGUCCCAUCUUUCUCAGUGCAAAGUUGAGGUAUAACCCACUGGCUAUUCCCAUGUAGGUUUUCCCUCACAGAGGUCCUGCAUCUGUGCAGGCUGUCUACAACCUCAGGGCCUGAAAUGCAGUACAGGUGUGUGGAAAAAAACAGCUGCUGCAAUUCCCUGUCGAUGUCCGAGGGAUCAGUUCUUGCUUAAGAACAACCUAGGCUCUAUAUCUCCUUGCUUAAUUAGGAAAAGGAGGUGAAUCUUACCAGGAAGAAAAUAAUUUUCAAGAAGUUAUUCCAUACAAUAGGAUGCUAAUAUUAGAGUAAGAAGUUGUGGGAAGGGUUCUCAAAGAUUUAUGGGUCUUUGGCACAUCUUGAAGCAUGCUACAGUGCUGUGGAACCAGGAAUGCCCUCGUUUUAAAGAGGUGAAAUGCCUGACACGAAGCCUUUUGAGCACACUGCGUCCUGUUGAGGUGGGCGAUUCCAUGCCAGGAGGUGUGGGAGGUCCCUGUAGCACAGGUAACGCUACCUCAGAGCCCUCAGGUUUAUCCAGUGUCCCUCAAUGAGCUGGUUUUGGUGUCGAGCCCUCCACGAAUUGCAACAGAAAGCAGGAUGGCUACAACUGUAGUUACAUACGCGGAGCCUUCUGCCUGCUGAGAUUCACUCCACGCUGCAGAUUGCAGCCUACCAGGGAGAGUCUGGUCCUACAUCUUAAUAAACAAACAAAAAAAAAUUCCCUUAAGCAUGUCCUGCUAUAAACAAGCAAAG
rnacentral:lncRNA from 1 species